UUACCGUGCUCACGGUAC
rnacentral:snRNA from 1 species